rnacentral:lncRNA from 1 species
GUAGCUAGCUAGCUACCAGCUCGAGUGUGCAGGUUUCUCCGCCAGAAUGGUAGAAAUGGACAACGUUGCCACGCUGUGGACUUUUUGUUGAAGAACCCCUUUCAUUCUCUGGGGUACACGGAAAAGGUGCGAAUUAAAAGCGAGGCCCGAUCUCUGCCUGAGAUCAGUUCCAUGAAGAAGGAUGAAAAGGUGAAGGCGUUCAAUACCAACUGGUAUCAAAAGUAUAGCUGGUUAACAGGGAGCCUUUCAUCAAGCCGCCUGUAUUGCUGGCCUUGCCUGCUUUUUGGAAAGUCUGAGCCUUGGUCGAAAGGUGGGUACAGUGACCUGAAGAACAUCGAUUGUUCAGCUAAACGGCAAAACAAAAGCAGGGAGCAUAUAAAUGCCCACAUCAGAUUCAAGCUUCUGGGAAAAAGCUGCAUCGAUUAUGACGAAGGUCUGCUUGUUCAAGAAAGUAAAAAGAAACAGAGAAGUUCUCAACGGCUUAUCAACACUACUACAUUUUUGGGCAUGCACAAAUGUGCUUUAAGAGGACACGACGACAGGCAAAGUUCCGUCAACAAGGGCAACUACAAGGAGGUGCAGAGGGUCCAGAGUUUUCCUAGUUAGGUUAACAAAUAAGGAAACACCCCAGACCCCCCACCGCUUUGGGACCUAUGGUGCCACCAGUCUUCUUGCAGUUGUCAGUUAUCGUCAGUUAAGUCCCCUCCUGUUCCCUGAUUAAGAGGUGAUGACUACUCCACUACCAUUGUCAACUUUCUCCUGAGAUGAACUGAAGCCACGUCUCAUGUGCCCGCUCAUCCACUGGCACAUUGAAUGUCUCAUGCACCCUGAGUACCCCUAUCAAUUUCUCUCAUUACUUCAAAUCCUGUCCUGCACUGGUGAAGCCUCUGAAUAUCUCAACUCAUGCCACAUACCCUCAUUCAAUCACUGCUGUGAUCCCUUUCCAACACUGAAAUGUUCACAGACAGAUCAUUGAAUAGCAGUAAAAGUGUGUAUGAGACACAAAAACAUGGUUCAACUACUUCAGAUGAGAAAAUUACCAAAAUAAAACUUGAGAAAGAUAUUGACCCUUUCAAUGUGUCAACAAAAGUUUGAGUCUGUUUUACUGACAGGAGU